ACUCCUACGGGAGGCAGCAGUGGGGAAUAUUUGCACAAUGGGGGAAAACCCUGAUGCAGCCAUGCCGCGUGUGUGAAGAAGGCCUUGGGUUGUAAAGCACUUUCAGUAGGGAGGAAGGUAGUGUAGUUAACACCUGCAUUAUUUGACGUUACCUACAGAAGAAGCACCGGCUAACUCCGUGCCAGCAGCCGCGGUAAUACGGAGGGUGCGAGCGUUAAUCGGAAUUACUGGGCGUAAAGCGCAUGCAGGCGGCCUGUUAAGUCAGAUGUGAAAGCCCGGGGUCUUAACCGUCGGAAUUGCAUUUGAAACUGGCAGGCUAGAGUCUUGGUAGAGGGGGUUAGAAUUUCAGGUGUAGCGGUGAAAUGCGUAGAGAUCUGAAGGAAUACCAGUGGCGAAGGCGGCCCCUGGACAAAGACUGACGCUCAGAUGCG
rnacentral:rRNA from 1 species